UACUGGUGGCGAGCGGCGGACGGGUGAGUAAUGCCUAGGAAUCUGCCUAGUAGUGGGGGAUAACGUCCGGAAACGGGCGCUAAUACCGCAUACGUCCUACGGGAGAAAGUGGGGGAUCUUCGGACCUCACGCUAUUAGAUGAGCCUAGGUCGGAUUAGCUAGUUGGUGAGGUAAUGGCUCACCAAGGCGACGAUCCGUAACUGGUCUGAGAGGAUGAUCAGUCACACUGGAACUGAGACACGGUCCAGACUCCUACGGGAGGCAGCAGUGGGGAAUAUUGGACAAUGGGCGAAAGCCUGAUCCAGCCAUGCCGCGUGUGUGAAGAAGGUCUUCGGAUUGUAAAGCACUUUAAGUUGGGAGGAAGGGCAGUUACCUAAUACGUGAUUGUUUUGACGUUACCGACAGAAUAAGCACCGGCUAACUCUGUGCCAGCAGCCGCGGUAAUACAGAGGGUGCAAGCGUUAAUCGGAAUUACUGGGCGUAAAGCGCGCGUAGGUGGUUUGUUAAGUUGGAUGUGAAAGCCCCGGGCUCAACCUGGGAACUGCAUCCAAAACUGGCAAGCUAGAGUAUGGUAGAGGGUGGUGGAAUUUCCUGUGUAGCGGUGAAAUG
rnacentral:rRNA from 1 species